GACGAACGCUGGCGGCGUGCUUAACACAUGCAAGUCGUACGGUAAGGCCCUUUCGGGGGUACACGAGUGGCGAACGGGUGAGUAACACGUGAGUAACCUGCCCACAACUUUGGGAUAACGCUAGGAAACUGGUGCUAAUACUGGAUAUGUGCUCCUGCUGCAUGGUGGGGGUUGGAAAGCUCCGGCGGUUGUGGAUGGACUCGCGGCCUAUCAGCUUGUUGGUGGGGUAGUGGCCUACCAAGGCGGCGACGGGUAGCCGGCCUGAGAGGGUGACCGGCCACAGUGGGGCUGAGAGACGGCCCAGACUCCGACGGGAGGCAGCAGUGGGGAAUAUUGCACAAUGGGCGCAAGCCUGAUGCAGCAACGCCGCGUGCGGGAUGACGGCCUUCGGGUUGUAAACCGCUUUCAGCAGGGACGAAGCUUUUUGUGACGGUACCUGCAGAAGAAGCACCGGCUAACUACGUG
rnacentral:rRNA from 1 species